rnacentral:rRNA from 1 species
CUCCUACGGGUGGCAGCAGUGGGGAAUCUUGGGCAAUGGGCGAAAGCCUGACCCAGCGACGCCGCGUUGGGGAUGAAGCCCUUCGGGGCGUAAACCCAUGUUGUAGGGGACGAAGAAAGUGACGGUACCCUACGAGAAAGCCCCGGCCAACUACGUGCCAGCAGCCGCGGUAAAACGUAGGGGGCGAGCGUUGUCCGGAAUUACUGGGCGUAAAGGGCACGCAGGCGGUACGCCAAGUCGGAGGUGUAAAGUUACGGCUCAACCGUGACCUUGCAAUCGAUACUGGCGUACUGGAGUGCGGGAGAGGGAAGUGGAAUUCCCGGUGUAGCGGUGAAAUGCGUAGAUAUCGGGAGGAACGCCAGUGGCGAAGGCGGCUUCCUGGCCCGCAACUGACGCUCAUGUGCGAAAGCCAGGGGAGCGAACCGGAUUAGAUACCCGAGUAGUCCCC